rnacentral:rRNA from 1 species
AUUGAACGCUGGCGGCAUGCUUUACACAUGCAAGUCGAGCGGCAGCGCGGGGGCAACCCUGGCGGCGAGCGGCGGACGGGUGAGUAGAGCAUCGGAACGUAUCCCGUAGUGGGGGACAACCCAGCGAAAGCUGGGCUAAUACCGCAUAUGCUCUACGGAGGAAAGGGGGGGACUCGCAAGGGCCUCACGCUAUGGGAGCGGCCGAUGUCCGAUUAGGUAGUUGGUGGGGUAAAGGCCCACCAAGCCGAAGAUCGGUAGCUGGUCUGAGAGGAUGAUCAGCCACACUGGAACUGAGACCCGGGCCAGACUCCGACGGGAGGCAGCAGUGGGGAAUUUUGGACAAUGGGGGCUACCCUGGUCCAGCCAUGCCGCGUGCGGGAAGAAGGCCUUCGGGUUGUAAACCGCUUUUGUACGGGAAGAAAGGGCCUCGGCUAAUACUCGAGGUUCUUGACGGUACUGGAAGAAUAAGCACCGGCUAACUACGUGCCAGCAGCCGCAGUAAUAC